rnacentral:rRNA from 1 species
UACGGAGGGGGUUAGCGUUGUUCGGAAUGACUGGGCGUAAAGCGCGCGUAGGCGGAUCGGAUAGUUGGGGGUGAAAUCCCGGGGCUCAACCCCGGAAUGGCCUUCAAAACUCCCGGUCUAGAGUUCGAGAGAGGUGAGUGGAAUUCCGAGUGUAGAGGUGAAAUUCGUAGAUAUUCGCAAGAACACCAGUGGCGAAGGCGGCUCACUGGCCCGGUACUGACGCUGAGACGCGAAAGCGUGGGGAGCGAACAGG